rnacentral:rRNA from 1 species
CACGUAGGGCGCAAGCGUUGUCCGGAAUUAUUGGGCGUAAAGAGCUCGUAGGCGGUCUGUUGCGUCCGCUGUGAAAACUCGGGGCUUAACCCCGAGCCUGCAGUGGAUACGGGCAGACUAGAGGUAGGUAGGGGAGAAUGGAAUUCCCGGUGUAGCGGUGAAAUGCGCAGAUAUCGGAAGGAACACCUGUGGCGAAAGCGGCUCACUGGACCAUUACUGACGCUGAGGCACGAAAGCUAGGGGAGCAAACAGG